UGCAAGUCGAACGAGACUUUCCGUUGUAGCAAUACGAUGGAAAGUUUAGUGGCGAACGGGUGCUUAACACGUGGGCAACCUGCCAUGAAGUGGGGGAUAGCUCGCCGAAAGGCGAAUUAAUACCGCAUGUGAUUAGAGAGGACAUCCUUUCGAAAUUAAAGUCGGGGCAACCUGACGCUUCUUGUGGGGCCCGCGGCCUAUCAGCUAGUUGGUGAGGUAAUGGCUCACCAAGGCUUUGACGGGUAGCUGGUCUGAGAGGACGACCAGCCACACUGGGACUGAGACACGGCCCAGACACCUACGGGUGGCAGCAGUCGAGAAUUUUUGACAAUGGGGGAAACCCUGAUCGAGCGACGCCGCGUGGAGGAUGAAGGUCUUCGGAUUGUAAACUCCUGUCAUUUGGGAACAAGGUGCACACGUUAACUGCGUGCGUAUUGAUAGUACCAGAAGAGGAAGAGACGGCUAACUCUGUGCCAGCAGCCGCGGUAAUACAGAGGUCUCAAGCGUUGUUCGGAUUCAUUGGGCGUAAAGGGUGCGUAGGCGGCGCGGUAAGUCGGGUGUGAAAUCUCGGAGCUUAACUCCGAAACUGCAUUCGAUACUGCCGUGCUUGAGGACUGGAGAGGAGACUGGAAUUUACGGUGUAGCGGUGAAAUGCGUAGAUAUCGUAAGGAAGACCAGUGGCGAAGGCGGGUCUCUGGACAGUUCCUGACGCUGAGGCACGAA
rnacentral:rRNA from 1 species